rnacentral:rRNA from 1 species
AACGAACGCUGGCGGCGUACUUAACACAUGCAAGUCGGACGAGAAAGGAGACUUCGGUCUCUGAGUACAGUGGCGCACGGGUGCGUAACACGUAAGUAAUCUACCCCGAACCCUGGGAUAACCCUCCGAAAGGAGGGCUAAUACUGGAUAGGGUCCCCGAGGUGUAGGCUGCGGGGGGAAAACGGGCCUCUGCUUCAUGCUCGUGGUUCGGGAUGAGCUUGCGGCCCAUUAGCUAGUUGGUAAGGUAAUGGCUUACCAAGGCAACGAUGGGUAGCUGGUCUGAGAGGAUGAUCAGCCACACUGGCACUGAGACACGGGCCAGACUCCUACGGGAGGCAGCAGUGGGGAAUUUUGCGCAAUGGGCGAAAGCCUGACGCAGUAACGCCGCGUGGAGGAUGAAGGCCUUCGGGUUGUAAACUCCUGUCAGGGGGAACGACGGGGAAAGGGUGAUAAACCCUCUCCGCCAGACGGUACCUCCAAAGGAAGCCCCGGCUAAUUC